rnacentral:snRNA from 1 species
GAACUCGCUUCAGCAGCACAUACACUAAAAUUGGAACAAUACAGAAAAGAUUAGCAUGGCCCCUGCACAAGGAUGACAAGCAAAUGCAUGAAGUGUUC